GUUCCUGACAAAAAGGAUUAUUCAUAUAAGUUGGGAUAGUUACAGUAAAACAAAGAAAACCUAAUGCUGGAUUGCAAUGGACAUUUAAUACCGUUAUGAGAGAUACAUGUAACCUCCAUUUCUUUUUUGUAAAAGGGCUCUCCCUGAGUAGUGCAACAUUGUUUGAUUACUGCAUCUCAGCUUUUAUUUUGUCUCAAUUGUCUAUGUUUGCAUAGAGUGCUUGCCUUUUAUGAUCCUGAGCUUAAUUGUCCAUGCAAAGACACAUUUUUAAGUUUUAUACUAUGCUGUGCUCUUAGCUGUGAUGGUAAAACUGUCCUAGAACAAGAGGUGAAUUUUACUGAUGGAGCCUUUCUAAUCUAAUACAGAGGUCUUCCUAGGCUGCUGACCUAUACUGCAGUGUGAGAGUUGCAGUUUUGUUGGUACUUUUAAGUACGAAGAAACUUGUUUCAAGAGGUUAAGAGGACAACUAAAAAAGGAUGAACCUAAGACAAAGAGCAAUGUAGGCUGCUUUAAUACAAGUAAGGGUCUUGCUGAACAUAAUGAAUGUCAGGGGUUCCUAACUCUGCAAAUGAAUGCUCCACCACUGUAGAUGUUUGAGUGCAAUAGGCUUUGCCUACCACUACUAAUGCUAUUUUCCUGUUGGAUGUGGCACAUUUACCUCAUCACUUGGGUGACUGGGGGAGGAUAGUGAUAGAAAUUACCUCAUCGUUCUUGAAGGAGUUGAGAGGCUUCUUGAUCAGACACCUGAAGGACAAGUUAUGAGGAGCUGCUGAUGGAGGAUCUAAAAAAAUGACAGCAAAACACUUACAGAGUAGAACUGGUCAUUUUCCUUCCACAAUACCUUUGCCUCCACUGCAACAUACCUGAGCCAUCAAUCCGUUCGUUCAUUUGUUUGAUGAAGAGUUCUGUUCUUGUUUUUCAGCAGUCCACAGUGAUCCACAUAGUUUAACUGCAAAAUCUGACACUUUUUUUUAAAAAAAUUUUUAAUUCUCUGUACAGUAUACUUGAUAAAUUCUUUAUCAUUAAAACUAAUGUGGAAAAGUUUUGCAUUCCAGUAA